UUAGACACACUGUAAAAAAUGGCUGUGAAAUCUACAGUUAUUUACUGUCGAUUUCACAGUAACAUUACUGUAUAAGAUUUUUACAGUAGAAUAUUGUAAAGUUUACAGUAAGACUGUAAAAAUCACAGUAGUCCAAGCAUUACAGUUGAAAUCACAGUAGUCAAAGCAUUACUGUAAAAAAAUCACAAUUUAGCCACUAUAGUACUGUAAAUAGUAAAGUAAACUACUGUAAUUUUCCUUUUUUUAUCAUAUCUUUCUUUGUACCCCUUUCACAUGGACGGCUCCAGAUUAUUGUUGUUCAGAAUUCAUUACCGGAAUAUGAUGUAAAUACUCGAUGGUGAGCUUUAAGUAAAAGUAUAAUAUUAAUAAAUUAAAAUGUGUCAUGUAACUUGUACUCUGAUGCACCUGCUGCAGGUGCUUUCUAUUCCAUACAAUAUAUAUUUUUUAAAGAAUUCACAUAAGAUUCCAAGAAUAUUUUUGUUUGUUUGUUUUGUGACUGUAAAUGGGUGUUUGGGUGUAAAUGGGUGUUAACAGGGCAAUAAAAUAUUUGAUACGCCUUAUCUUAAUCUCCAAAGUCUCCCCUGACAUGGUCUAACAAUAUAUUCCAGAUGUGUAACUUUUUGUGUUCAAAAUUUACAAAAAAAUAUACAAUGGGAAUGUACAACAUGAAUCUAUUUUCCAAACCGUGUUUGUGUCUUACCCUGAAUUAUUAUGGUAAUGGUACACCUAGAAUAAGUGUGUAUAUUCGGACUAUUUUAGACCAGUCUGGUAGGAACCGCUGCGGAGUAUCACAGUACCUGCGUGACUCGUCAUAGACAUAAACAGAGAGAAGUAGCUCCGGCUACAAUGUUCUUCCGCAAAAUGCAUGCCGUUUUGUUUAUGAACUGCUAGAGUGCCAAAAGUUACAGACUUGUUUAUAUAUUAUAUAUAUGUUGUGUUUGUGAAUUACGGAUAUUUAUUGGAUGGGGCAUGCGCGAGACAAAUUCGAAAUUUUAAACAAGCAAGUCAAACGGACUUUCGGAGAAUCUUGAGUAUUGCGCAUGCGCAUCAUUUGGUUCUGUAACGGUCGACCUCCAGCAGACGGACACAGUAAAAGCAGCUGAGGAGAGACAGUCAUGAUGCCAUGACAAUAAUUGAUGAUUAAAAGCAGGGAUAAUCUCCAGGUGGACUGCACGGGUCCAGGAUCUAGAGAUCAUUCAUCAUGAGGACGAUGUUCCAGGAGAAGCAGCAUAUCCUGGGUGAAAAACUAUGCCUUAAUUUUUCCAAUAUCACUUAGGUAAGACUAAAUGUAUUUAAAUUGAUUUCAAUCAUGGGUCAUUUGUUUCAGGUCUACUUGAUCAUUUUGUUGGCCUGGAUGUGAGAACAUGGUCAAAAGGUGUGUCAAUCAGCAUCCAGCCAUAAAAGAUGCCUUCUCGUUAAAAGGCUCAGAAGGACAAACAGCUGCCAGAGGAGGAUGAUGAUGAUGAUGGCAGUGGUGACCGAGAUGAAGAGGAGGAGGAACAUCUUCCAGUUUGCAAAAAUCCAAAGUGAUCCUUGCCUCAGAAGAGCCUGAGAAAGACACACUUCCUCCUCUCACAGCUCUCCAUCAUCUUCCUCCUCAACACUGUUGGAAAGAGUGUUCUACACAGCUGAGGACACGGUAAUGAGAGAUCUCAAAUUCUUCCUGAGAAAGUCCACAUGUUAAUUUUCUUGAACAAAAACUGUACAUGUAUUUUUGGGUGGGCCAAACUAUUAUUUGAAGAAAUGCUAAAAAUCUCUAUAUUGCUCUUUAUACAUAUCUUUUACUCUUUAUGAAUGUCAUCUUCUAGAUUUUUUUUAUCUUUUGGGAAGCUCAAGGACUGUAUAUCUUUGGUAAUUGUGAUAUCGUCUGGUAAAAGUUCUAGUAAAGCAGUAUUAAAGCACAUUACCUCAGUAUAUAUUACUCAUACAGGACACUUAGGAAAUGGUUUAAAACAUUUUUUUGCAAAUAAAGUAAUAAAAUAUCUGCUGAAUCUUUUU